CGAUCAAGCUUUAGCCAUGGAUAGUAGCGAAUCAAGCAUAGGCGAAAUCUUUGCCAGAGUGGACCAUCUGCCGUUGUUAAUCAUCGGUCUACAAGCGGCUGAGCAACGACAACCGCCUUCACAAACAAACCAAGAAGUCGUUGUCCUCAACGCCGCCACCCAAUCCCUUUCCUUCAUCCAUGUUCCUGCCGCCGCCGUCUCCGACAAAUCUGGACCUUUGCCUGCAUCGAAGGCGUCCAUUGAUGCCAUGCCCAGAAUAACAGUAACGGAGGAUUGCGUCAAGGACUGCGCUAUUUGUUUAGACGAGAUGAGCGUGGGCGGCGUGAUUCGAGAGAUGCCGUGUAAACAUGGGUUUCACUCGGGUUGUAUUGAGAAGUGGCUAGGGUUACAUCGGUCGUGCCCCGUUUGUCGGUUCAUGAUGCCUACGGAAGAUGAUGGUACUGAGGAUGAUGGUGACGGUGGAAGUGAAGACGGGCGGCGCCAGAGGAGGAGGAUUAUUUCUUACAAUAUCGUCAUUGUGGCUGAUAGGUCGGUGUCAUUGGAUUCGGAUCAGAGUUUGGAUUCUGGGUCGGAAAAUUCCGAUUCUAGUGAUGGACGCAGUUGACUGCUGGUUGACUAGGCAAAAUUAGAGGGUUUUUUGUUAAAGUAAAUUCUUCUUUUUUUUUUUAAUAUGCGUUCAUUCAUGAUUGAUUUUAUAAAAUGCNNNNNNNNNNNCAAUGCAACAAAGCAAUUAGGAAUUUAAUAGAAUUUUUCUUUUAUUCAAAAAAAAAAAAAAAAA
rnacentral:misc_RNA from 1 species